UGCCAGCCGCCGCGGUAAUACGGAGGUCCCGAGCGUUGUUCGGAUUCACUGGGCGUAAAGAGUAUGUAGGCGGCCCGUUAAGUCUGAUGUGAAAGCUCCGAGCUCAACUCGGAAAUUGCAUUGGAUACUGGCGGGCUAGAGAUCCGGAGGGGAGACUGGAAUUCUCGGUGUAGCAGUGAAAUGCGUAGAUAUCGAGAGGAACACCAGUGGCGAAGGCGAGUCUCUGGACGGUUUCUGACGCUGAGAUACGAAAGUUAGGGUAGCAAACAGGAUUAGAUA
rnacentral:rRNA from 1 species